AGACAAGUUCACUGACACACAAACUUACUACAGAUAAGCUCACUGACACACACACGCUCACUACAGACAAGCUCACUCUCACACACAUGCUCACUGACACACAAUCUCACUACAGACAAACUCAGUAGACAAGCUCACUGACACACAUGCUUACUACGGACAAGCCUACUAGACAAGUUCACUGACACGCAAACUUACUACAGACAAGCUCACUCUCACACACAUGCUCACUACAGACAAGCUCACUGACACACAAACAUACUACAGACAAGCUCAC